UUCGUAGGGUGCGAGCGUUAAUCGGAAUUACUGGGCGUAAAGCGUGCGCAGGCGGUUUUGUAAGCCAGAUGUGAAAGCCCCGGGCUUAACCUGGGAAUGGCAUUUGGGACUGCAAGGCUUGAGUGCGGCAGAGGAGACUGGAAUUCCUGGUGUAGCAGUGAAAUGCGUAGAUAUCAGGAGGAAUACCGAUGGCGAAGGCAGGUCUCUGGGCUGACACUGACGCUCAUGCACGAAAGCGUGGGGAGCAAACAGG
rnacentral:rRNA from 1 species